AUUGAACGCUGGCGGCAGGCCUAACACAUGCAAGUCGAGCGGGGUUUUCGGACCUAGCGGCGGACGGGUGAGUAAUGCGUAGGAAGCUGCCCGAUAGAGGGGGAUACCAGUUGGAAACGACUGUUAAUACCGCAUAAUGUCUACGGACCAAAGUGUGGGACCUUCGGGCCACAUGCUAUCGGAUGCGCCUACGUGGGAUUAGCUAGUUGGUGAGGUAAUGGCUCACCAAGGCGACGAUCUCUAGCUGGUUUGAGAGGAUGAUCAGCCACACUGGAACUGAGACACGGUCCAGACUCCUACGGGAGGCAGCAGUGGGGAAUAUUGGACAAUGGGCGCAAGCCUGAUCCAGCCAUGCCGCGUGUGUGAAGAAGGCCUUCGGGUUGUAAAGCGCUUUCAGCGAGGAGGAAGGGUGGCGUGUUAAUAGUACAUCAUUUUGACGUUACUCGCAGAAGAAGCACCGGCUAACUCUGUGCCAGCAGCCGCGGUAAUAC
rnacentral:rRNA from 1 species